rnacentral:rRNA from 1 species
UACGUAGGUGGCAAGCGUUAUCCGGAAUUAUUGGGCGUAAAGAGCGCGCAGGUGGUUGAUUAAGUCUGAUGUGAAAGCCCACGGCUUAACCGUGGAGGGUCAUUGGAAACUGGUCGACUUGAGUGCAGAAGAGGGAAGUGGAAUUCCAUGUGUAGCGGUGAAAUGCGUAGAGAUAUGGAGGAACACCAGUGGCGAAGGCGGCUUCCUGGUCUGUAACUGACACUGAGGCUCGAAAGCGUGGGGAGCAAACAGGAUUAGAUAU